AAGGCUGUGCUUUCAGGGAUCAUUUCUUUAGUUGGUGAUUGGAGAAGGGUGGUUGUAAAAGCCUGGCCUUGCUGACCACGAUGAGGAACUGUAGUGUUUCUUUCUGAGCAUGAUAAUGGCAGAGUGCUAUUCUGUGAUAGCUGUUUUCUGCUGUGGAAGAGUGUCUUGUUCUUCCUGGUAAGAGCAAGGGAAAGAAACACAGUCUGAGUGGU